GCAUAACGCGAAGAACCUUACCAAGGCUUGACAUCCCCUUGACCGGCACAGAGAUGUGCCCUCUCCUUCGGGAGCAAGGGUGACAGGUGGUGCAUGGUUGUCGUCAGCUCGUGUCGUGAGAUGUUGGGUUAAGUCCCGCAACGAGCGCAACCCUUAUCCUUAGUUGCCAGCAUUAACGGUGGGCACUCUAAGGAGACUGCCGAUGAUAAAUCGGAGGAAGGUGGGGAUGACGUCAAAUCAUCAUGCCCCUUAUGUCUUGGGCUACACACGUGCUACAAUGGUCGGUACAACGGGCAGCGAAGGAGUGAUCCGGAGCGAAUCCCAAUAAACCGAUCCCAGUUCGGAUUGUAGGCUGCAACUCGCCUACAUGAAGUCGGAGUUGCUAGUAAUCGCGAAUCAGAACGUCGCGGUGAAUGCGUUCCCGGGUCUUGUACACACCG
rnacentral:rRNA from 1 species